CAGUAGCCGCGGUAAUACGUAGGUGGCAAGCGUUGUCCGGAAUUAUUGGGCGUAAAGGGCUCGCAGGCGGUUUCUUAAGUCUGAUGUGAAAGCCCCCGGCUCAACCGGGGAGGGUCAUUGGAAACUGGGAAACUUGAGUGCAGAAGAGGAGAGUGGAAUUCCACGUGUAGCGGUGAAAUGCGUAGAGAUGUGGAGGAACACCAGUGGUGAAGGCGACUCUCUGGUCUGUAACUGACGCUGAGGAGCGAAAGCGUGGGGAGCGAACAGGAUUAGAUACCCCAGUAGUCCCUGUCUCUUAUAA
rnacentral:rRNA from 1 species